UCGUAACAAGGUCUCCGUAGGUGAACCUGCGGAGGGAUCAUUACACAAAUAUGAAGGCGGGCUGGAACCUCUCGGGGUUACAGCCUUGCUGAAUUAUUCACCCUUGUCUUUUGCGUACUUCUUGUUUCCUUGGUGGGUUCGCCCACCACUAGGACAAACAUAAACCUUUUGUAAUUGCAAUCAGCGUCAGUAACAAAUUAAUAAUUACAACUUUCAACAACGGAUCUCUUGGUUCUGGCAUCGAUGAAGAACGCAGCGAAAUGCGAUAAGUAGUGUGAAUUGCAGAAUUCAGUGAAUCAUCGAAUCUUUGAACGCACAUUGCGCCCUUUGGUAUUCCAAAGGGCAUGCCUGUUCGAGCGUCAUUUGUACCCUCAAGCUUUGCUUGGUGUUGGGCGUCUUGUCUCUAGCUUUGCUGGAGACUCGCCUUAAAGUAAUUGGCAGCCGGCCUACUGGUUUCGGAGCGCAGCACAAGUCGCACUCUCUAUCAGCAAAGGUCUAGCAUCCAUUAAGCCUUUUUUCAACUUUUGACCUCGGAUCAGGUAGGGAUACCCGCUGAACUUAAGCAUAUCA
rnacentral:misc_RNA from 1 species